CACAGAAUGUGUUGGUAUUGGGAGACCGCAUGACCGGAUUUCUCUCCAAGCUGCCAGAUAGAAAAUGCUGUAGUUUGGAUAUGAAAACUGCAUGCAAUGAGUGGUGGGCUUGGGUACGAAAUACCGGCAGUGAUCCCGACAGUAAGAAGAUCGACAGCGGGAUCCCAAUGCGGGAUGUAUUUCGUCAUGCUCUGGAGAAAAGACAAGUCAGUCUAUAUUACUGUUUUCCCUACUUUGGCUCCACCUUGUGGUACAGAGAAGUAUAUAUUUACUAAACAGAAGUGUAAUACCUGCAUAUUAUGCUGUAUAUUUUUCUGUACAAUUGUCAAAACUAGAAAAUAAUGAAACAAUUUCUUCACAGUACUUCAUUUUGCAUUCAAACAUAAAAAUGUUGU